rnacentral:rRNA from 1 species
AUGCAGGACUAUUCCACGAAGAAUCCUACAUAUCCGCCGCACCUCUUCCGGAGAAGGUAUCGAAUGCGCCAAUCCCUCUUCGUGAAAGUAGUGCAAGCUUGCGAGGCCAAUUCUCGGUUUUUUACUCAAAGGAGAAAUGCCGCGGGCUUGUUAGGUUUUAGCGCAUGUCAAAAAAUAUCGCCAGCUAUGCGGGUGAUUGCAUAUGGCAUUCCAGCCGACUAUGCCGAAAAAUAUCUUGGCACUGGCGAAGAUACUAUAAUUGAGCCAGUGCGUACGUUCACCAAAGUGAUCAUCCGCGUCUUUGGUCCUGUCUACGUCGUGCACCCAACAAGGAAGACACAAAAAAGUUGA